ACGAAGGGUGCAAGCGUUACUCGGAAUUACUGGGCGUAAAGCGUGCGUAGGUGGUUUGUUAAGUCUGAUGUGAAAGCCCUGGGCUCAACCUGGGAAUGGCAUUGGAAACUGGCGGACUCGAGUGCGGUAGAGGGGGGUGGAAUUCCCGGUGUAGCAGUGAGCUGCGUAGAGAUCGGGAGGAACACCAGUGGCGAAGGCGACACCCUGGACCAGCACUGACACUGAGGCACGAAAGCGUGGGGAGCAAACAGGAUUAGAUACCCUGGUAGUCCACGCCCUAAACGAUGCGAACUGGAUGUUGGGUGCAACUUGGCACUCAGUAUCGAAGCUAACGCGUUAAGUUCGCCUCCUGGGGAGUACGGUCGCAAGACUGAAACUCAA
rnacentral:rRNA from 1 species